GCUUCAACCGUUGUCAUCAAACGCGUCAAAUUUUCACUCGCCAAAAACGCCAAUCCAGGGUAAAUUUACCCUGGACUUUUUCCCAGAGCUUCUUCAUUCUUCGCAGCCUUUCUCAGUCGCCACCGCCUCUUCCUCCUCUGGUCGACCGAGUCAUCAGCGUCUUUCUUCUCCUUCGAUUCUCUUUCUCAUCACAGAGCGGGGCGAUUGUAUUUCUUCACAGGUGAAUCCAGGAAGGCAAACUGUUCGCCAUACCAGAGGUUCCUAACAUUGCUCAGCGCUAGGAAUAUUGUGCAAAUCAUUACGAUGGAAGAUAGUGGUCCAUCAAGGGAGAAUCUUACGUGGACUGAAGCACAGAUGGACUACUUAGUCCAGCUUCUUUUAGAGCAAUCACGUAUUCCUGGUAUGCAAUCAGGUGGAGGUUUGAAGUCAAAAGCAUACACAGCAAUUGAAAAAGGCAUGAUAGACCGCUACGGAAAGGAUUUCACUAAGGAGAAAAUUAAAAACAAAUUAAAGUAUGUGAAACUCAAGUUGACAGUUAUGAAGGAAAUUUUGAAUACAAGCGGGUUGGGGUAUGACCCCAUUAACAAAUGCAUUGAUGUUGACCCCCAAGUUUGGAGUGAGUACAUUGAGAAAUACCCGAAUAGGAAAAAGUACAAAGGUUCAAAGUUGUGGAGGUACUAUGACGAGUUUGCCGAGGUAUAUGGUGAUUCUCAAUCAACUAGCAAUCAAGCAAACACGUGCAACAGCAUGUUUUUAGCAGAGGGCACUGAACCAUUCCCAAUUACACCUGCAUCCCAAUCGAUUCCAUUUUACAUGCAACCUGAAAGUUCACAAUCGUUCACACAAAUGCUCCAUGAACAUAGUCCUUCCGUACAAUCGCCAAUGCCUACAACUCUUACAACUCAAGAUCCCACAAUGACAACCAAUAAGACUACAAGUAGGUCUAGACAGACUAGGUCAACCUAUGAUGAAGGAUUUUAUAAUUUGUUGCGCAGUAUUGCUGAUAAUUUGAAGACCAUGACACGUGCAUGUAUAGGAGUUCAAUUUGUCACUUGUUGCGACAUACUUCAAGAGUUGGUUGAUACUGAACAAAUAGAUUCUGAUACACGCGUGAAGAGUAUUGACAUGUUAGCAAAGGGCACCAACCCCAUGAUCUUUGUCAACCUUCCACCUUCACAGCGGGUGUCAUGGUUGACACGUAAACUUUCUGAUUUGUAGUUUAGUUGAAAUGGUUGAUAUCGACAUGUUGGAUGAUGACGAAGAACAAGAGCGUUAUUUGAUUCGGCUAGUGUUUGUCUUUAUCUUUUUUUUGGAUGGGAAGGAAGUGCAACAGACUCAAGAGUAUUAUACAAAUGCACUUAAUCAUCGAACCGACCCAUUUGUUGUGCCAUAAGGUAUGUACUUUCACCAAAUAUUGCAUACCUUUUUAUAAGCAUUUAACAAAGUUUGAAGAAUUUGUGUUCACUUGUAGGAAAAUAUUAUCUUGCUGAUGGGGGUUAUCCAAAUAUUGUUGGUUUCCUAACACCUUAUUGGCGGCAUCGUCAUCAUAUGUCUGAGUUUAACUCACAUGGGACACGCAAUCUAGAACUGUAGAAGAAUUAUUCAACCGUAGGCAUUCAUCACUCCGAAAUGCAGUAAAAAGAACUUUCAGCAUGUUGAAAGGUCGUUUUUCAAUAUUGAAAAUGCAAGGGCAAUAUCCAUUUCAGAAACAAGUUCAAAUUGUUCUUGCUACAUGUGUAUUGCACAACUUCAUAAUUGAACGCAAUCCAAAUGCCGAGCAAUUUGUUGAUGAAGAUGCUCCUUCGAAUGAUAAUGUUUUUGUAGCGAACCGGAAAUUACAAGUUAAACACAUCAGCGAUGAAGCAACAAUUGUAUGAGAACAACUAUAACAACUCAAAUGUUUACGGAUUAUCAAUUGAAUAGAGAACGAAGAUGAAGUCUCGCCAGGAGUUCUAUGUGGUGUUCGAAGGUAGAUCACGAGACAUAUAUGAUAGUUGGGAGUUGUGCCAACCUUUAGUGUAUCGAUAGAAGAGUGCCAUCUUUAUAUUGUUCAAUACCGUUGAAGCAGCAGAAUUUCAGAUGAAUGAGUAUCUCAACAUGAACUAUCGUAAGCAAGUUGAUAGGCAAGAAGAAGAUAUGAAGUUUGUUGAUAAGUGUGCAGCUAAAAAGUUUGGAUUACUUGUUUUGUGAUUAUGUGUUUUCUUUGUUGGAUUUGUACUUGUUAAACUCAUAUAUUAGAUGGAUACUGGUCUAUUGUACUUGAACUGACAAUAUGUACACUAACUCCUAUGUUGGAGAUUGCUAUGUUUUGGUUGUGAUUACAUGGUUUGUUGGUGAUCAAACGGAGUGUAUAUAACUUUGAUACAGGUUUAUGUAUGCUAUGCCUAUAAAUUGUAGUUGGUUAUGUA